GACGAACGCUGGCGGCGUGCUUAACACAUGCAAGUCGAACGGAAAGGCCCUGCUUUUGUGGGGUGCUCGAGUGGCGAACGGGUGAGUAACACGUGAGUAACCUGCCCUUGACUUUGGGAUAACUUCAGGAAACUGGGGCUAAUACCGGAUAGGAGCUCCUGCUGCAUGGUGGGGGUUGGAAAGUUUCUGCGGUUGGGGAUGGACUCGCGGCUUAUCAGCUUGUUGGUGGGGUAGUGGCUUACCAAGGCUUUGACGGGUAGCCGGCCUGAGAGGGUGACCGGCCACAUUGGGACUGAGGUACGGCCCAGACUCCUACGGGAGGCAGCAGUGGGGAAUAUUGCACAAUGGGCGGAAGCCUGAUGCAGCAACGCCGCGUGCGGGAUGACGGCCUUCGGGUUGUAAACCGCUUUCGCCUGUGACGAAGCGUGAGUGACGGUAAUGGGUAAAGAAGCACCGGCUAACUACGUG
rnacentral:rRNA from 1 species